AGAGUUUGAUUCUGGCUCAGGAUGAACGCUAGCUACAGGCUUAACACAUGCAAGUCGAGGGGCAGCAUGACGAUAGCUUGCUAUUGUUGAUGGCGACCGGCGCACGGGUGCGUAACACGUAUCCAAUCUACCCGGUACUCGGGGAUAGCCUUUCGAAAGAAAGAUUAAUACCCGAUACUGUUGGAUCUCCGCAUGGCGGUCCAACCAAAGAUUUCAUCGGUGCCGGAUGAGGAUGCGUCUGAUUAGGUAGAUGGCGGGGUAACGGCCCACCAUGCCGACGAUCAGUAGGGGUUCUGAGAGGAAGGUCCCCCACAUUGGAACUGAGACACGGUCCAAACUCCUACGGGAGGCAGCAGUGAGGAAUAUUGGUCAAUGGACGCAAGUCUGAACCAGCCAAGUAAGCGUGAAGGACGACGGCCCUACGGGUUGUAAACUUCUUUUGUACGGGAAUAAAGUGAGGCACGCGUUGCCUUUUUGCAUGUACCGUACGAAUAAGCAUCGGCUAAUUCCGUGCCAGCCGCGGC
rnacentral:rRNA from 1 species